GACGAACGCUGGCGGCGUGCCUAAUACAUGCAAGUAGAACGCUGAAGAGAGGAGCUUGCUCUUCUUGGAUGAGUUGCGAACGGGUGAGUAACGCGUAGGUAACCUGCCUUGUAGCGGGGGAUAACUAUUGGAAACGAUAGCUAAUACCGCAUAACAAUGGAUGACCCAUGUCAUUUAUUUGAAAGGGGCAAAUGCUCCACUACAAGAUGGACCUGCGUUGUAUUAGCUAGUAGGUGAGGUAACGGCGCACCUAGGCGACGAUACAUAGCCGACCUGAGAGGGUGAUCGGCCACACUGGGACUGAGACACGGCCCAGACUCCUACGGGAGGCAGCAGUAGGGAAUCUUCGGCAAUGGGGGCAACCCUGACCGAGCAACGCCGCGUGAGCGAAGAAGGUUUUCGGAUCGUAAAGCUCUGUUGUAAGUCAAGAACGAGUGUGAGAGUGGAAAGUUCACACUGUGACGGUAGCUUACCAGAAAGGGACGGCUAACUACGUG
rnacentral:rRNA from 1 species